AACUAAAAGUCCGGGCGCCACCGCGCGCCAGUGCCGAGCCCGCGAUCGUGGCGAGCGUACGCGUAUCCCGUGCGUACCGUGCAUGUAUCUCUCGCGCGCGCGCGCGCGUUUAAACACACGGCUCUCCGAUCCCUGACACGCGUCGUGCGUGCGAGCGACCGCGCGGAAUUCAGUAGUCCUUCGUCGGUGCUGAGUCUCCGGUCGCCGACGAUCGCUCCGAAAAAAAAUUGCCGGCGUUUCCGCUCCAGGAUUCGCAAGGAGAGAGAACGAACGCGGGAGCGGACGUCGACGGAGGACCGUCGCGAGGAUCCGCGAUCGUCAGUGAACAGGUGACGUGAUCCGUACAAAGGAGCGCUCUUCUACCGCGUCCCAGGUAACUCGCGGCCGGAUCUCUCGCGAUCGGGCGAGCGGACGAGAGGGGGACAAGUGAUAUGAGUGCCGAACGCCGGAUCUUUCGUGACGUUAAACGGCGAUCGAGUCGCGAGCGUUACCAAGGAAAUACCAUCGAGUGAUCGGCACGCGAGCAAGACCGGAUAUCGCGCGCGAAGGGGAGACGAGUGGAUAGCGAGAGGGAAAGGGAAAGAGCGAAGGACGGGAAGAACGUAAUAGCAGUGUGUUCUCGUUUUGGUUGCGUGAGAGAGGAAAGCGGACCCGUCUACGCGUGCGGCGAGAAACGAGAAAAGUGAAGACGAGCUGGAGGACGGCCGGGUGAAAAUAGCCUCGAGGCGGGAAGGAAGGUGAAAAAGAUGAUGCGGUGCCAUCCGAUCGUUCUCCUCGCCGGCCUGCUCACCGUCGUCCGUGCUCAAGGGGUCCCGCGAACAUUUUCGGCUAGGCCUUACCGAGGAGGUUGGUUCGUUUGUUUGGUUUGCAAUUAGGAUUAGUCAGUAGAU